UACGUAGGGGGCGAGCGUUAUCCAGAUUUACUGGGCGUAAAGCGCGUGUAGGCGGCUGGUUAGGUCUGAUGUGAAAGCCCGGGGCUCACCCCCGGAAGUGCAUUGGAAACUGACGGACUCGAGUCCCGGAGAGGAGGGUGGAAUUCCUGGUGUAGCGGUGAAAUGCGUAGAUAUCAGGAGGAACACCGGUGGCGAAGGCGGCCCUCUGGACGGUGACUGACGCUAAGACGCGAAAGCGUGGGGAGCAAACAGG
rnacentral:rRNA from 1 species